rnacentral:rRNA from 1 species
CAGAUGAGAAGAAACAUAAUAAAAUUAGGGACAAGAAGACCCUAUGAAUUUUUAUAAAUUCUUUAAAAAAUUUUUUAAAGAAUUUAUUUAAUUGGGGCGAUUAAUAAAUAUAUUUAACUUUUUUUUUAAAAAAAAAUGAUCCAUUAUUAAUGAUUAAAUGAGGUAAAUACUCUAGGGAUAACAGCGUAAUAAUUUUAGAUAGAUCUUAUAGAAAAAAUAGUUUGCGACC